GCGCGAAAACUCUACAAUGCAGGCAACUGCGAUAGGGGAACAUCGAGUGGCACCCACCAUGGGUGUCUGUCCAACCGUCUAAAAAACGGUUGUUAGCAAGGGCCGGGUAAGACCGGUGCCAGCCGCCGCGGUAAUACCGGCGGCUCGAGUGGUGGCCGAUAUUAUUGAGUCUAAAGGGUCCGUAGCUGGCUUUGCAAGUCCCCUGGGAAAUCCAGCGGCUUAACCGUUGGGCUUCCAUGGGAUACUACAUUGCUUGGGACUGGGAGAGGUAGGAGGUACUCAGGGGGUAGGG
rnacentral:rRNA from 1 species